rnacentral:sRNA from 1 species
GAGCGCAACGCAUCGCCAGUUCAUCUGGCACUGAAUCGACCUGCGGGACGUUCAGGUAACAGGGCCGCCCAUCGAGGCGGCCUUUUUACGUUUU